rnacentral:pre_miRNA from 1 species
AAUUAUUCACACUAAAAACAGUGCAGGGACAAGGACAGAAGAAGUGACAAACUAGAGCGCUCUAGUUUGUCACUUCUUCCGUCCUCGUCUCUGCGCUGUUUUUAGUGUGAAUAAUG